AACAGUUUUAUCGAGUUUCGUCCCAAUCUAUGGACUACUUCCUCGUCGAGCUCGCCUCAGGGGUGCGACUCAGUUAGUAGCACUAUUAUCAAGAAGGUUUCUGGUAGAUCAAAGAGGAUCCAAGCCACACAGACGACUGUCUUGGAGAUUGCUCAAAAAUCUUGAAGGGCUUUUUGCUGAUGCGAUAAGAUCCCUUCUCCUCCUCUGCUUUUACAUAUAUAUAGUAAUUUUUGUUCUGAUAGAUGCUAAGGAAGUUGUAACUGUAAACUGGUUUGGGUUAAUUUUAUGUUGUAAGUUUGUUGAGAUUGUAAAAAUAUAUGUGAUGUGUAGCUUAUAAGGGGAUUUAAAAUAACAAUAAAGUGUUUAUAUAUGCAUGGCACACCAUUCAAAAUCAAA